rnacentral:tRNA from 1 species
GUUAAUGUAGCUUAAUUUAUAAAGCAAAGCACUGAAAAUGCUUAGAUGAGCCACCAGGCUCCAUAAACA